GAAAGAUGAAAAGAACUUUGAAAAGAGAGUUAAACAGUACGUGAAAUUGUUGAAAGGGAAACGAUUGAAGCCAGUCGUACCUUCGGGUAAUCAGCCUUUCGGGUGCGAUUCUGUGGGGUUUGAGGAGCUUAACACCUUCAUGCUUUGCAUAUUCGUGCUCUUGGGUGUACUUGCCCGUGUGGUUGGUUAACAUCAAUUUUGGUGGUCAUAAAAUGACUGGAGGAAUGUAGCUUCGAUCUUGUAUUGAAGUGUUAUA
rnacentral:rRNA from 1 species